ensembl:lncRNA
AGGGCCCUGGUAAGGUAGUGGACUAUAUAGGGCCCUGGAAAGGUAGUGGACUAUAUAUAGGGAAUAGGGCCCUGGUAAGGUAGUGGACUACAUAUGGGGAAUAGGGCCCUGGUAAGGUAGUGGACUAUAUAUAGAGAAUAUGGCCCUGGUAAUGUAGUGGACUAUAUAUAGGGAAUAGGGCCCUGGUAAGGUAGUGGACUAUAUUUAGGGAAUAGGGCCCUGGUAAGGUAGUGGACUAUAUAGUUACUUUACUUGACAUUUAAAUGUAAAACUUGAGUCGGGCAUACCAACUGGGCUACAACAUAUGGUACCAAAUGGUUACUUUACCAUCUCUAAAUGGGUUGUAAAAUGGGCUAUCUGCUGUGAAUAUGGUCAGGGAUUGUCUCUGGGACUACUGGGUCAUGUAUGUGAGGGACCCAGAACGAACCUGAAUACUGUUUUAAUUAACUGUUAAAAGACGGCAACUAAUGAAAUGUGGGGA